GUUCCUGCAGAUGGAGUUUUAAUAUCUGGCCACUCCCUUGCCCUUGAUGACUGGAGAGAUCACAUUCGUGUGGAGGCUAUCUGCUUGUGAGAAAAUGGGAUCUGCCACCAUUAUUUGCAGCGGUUAACAAGGACUCUUGCAAAAAAAUGCCGCUCUCAUAAG